rnacentral:rRNA from 1 species
UUCCAGACUCCUACGGGAGGCAGCAGUGGGGAAUAUUGCACAAUGGGGGAAACCCUGAUGCAGCGACGCCGCGUGAAGGAAGAAGUAUUUCGGUAUGUAAACUUCUAUCAGCAGGGAAGAAAAUGACGGUACCUGACUAAGAAGCCCCGGCUAACUACGUGCCAGCAGCCGCGGUAAUACGUAGGGGGCAAGCGUUAUCCGGAUUUACUGGGUGUAAAGGGAGCGUAGGCGGUGCAGCAAGUCAGAAGUGAAAGCCCGGGGCUCAACUCCGGGACUGCUUUUGAAACUGUUGAACUAGAGUGCAGGAGAGGUAAGUGGAAUUCCUAGUGUAGCGGUGAAAUGCGUAGAUAUUAGGAGGAACACCAGUGGCGAAGGCGGCUUACUGGACUGUAAAUGACGCUGAGGCUCGAAAGCGUGGGGAGCAAACAGGAUUAGAUACCCCAGUAAU